UGGGGAAUUUUGCGCAAUGGACGAAAGUCUGACGCAGCGACGCCGCGUGGGUGAUGAAGGCCCUCGGGUUGUAAAGCCCUGUGGGGAGGGAAGAAUAAGGGUACGUAAAUAGCGUAUCUGAUGACGGUACCUCCUUAGCAAGCACCGGCUAACUCUGUGCCAGCAGCCGCGGUAAGACAGAGGGUGCAAACGUUGUUCGGAAUUACUGGGCGUAAAGCGCGUGUAGGCGGCUAAGCAAGUCGGGUGUGAAAGCCCUUGGCUCAACUGAGGAAGAGCACUCGAAACUGCGUAGCUUGAGUUCUGGAGAGGAUGGUGGAAUUCUCGGUGUAGAGGUGAAAUUCGUAGAUAUCGAGAGGAACACCAGUGGCGAAGGCGGCCAUCUGGACAGAAACUGACGCUG
rnacentral:rRNA from 1 species